UUAAACAGCCAUGGGAUGGUCACUGUUGAAUUUAUACCCACUAGCAAGCCUCUUCCUUUCCAUCUUAAAUAAAACAUAUUUUCCCACUCUGGCUUUAGUGAGUGACAGUGGCAGUGGCAGAAACCAGGAGAGAUGCCUUCUGUUCUCUUGGUCUUGGUCACCUGCUGAGUGGUAUUCCCCCCCUGAACGGUGCUUUACCAUGGGGUGGGUUUGUGACAGUGGACGUUUGUGGAACAGUGGCCAUUGCUUUCUAAUCCCCACUCAAGGGUCUUUCCUCCUGGAUGGUGCCUUGCUUCCUAACUCUCUCAGUACCCCCCAGGGUUUCCUGCCACAGUUCUCAUUGCUCUGUGCUGCUGUCCUCUCUCACAGAAUAGCAUCUUUCAGUUAGAAUAAAAGAAUUCUGGUUCCAGGCUUUUCUGAUUUCUCAGGUUUCUCCUGGACUCACCAGUCUUUCCAUGCACUCUGGCUUCGACUGACUCCUGCAGAGGGAAGGAUGAACACUGGUCAGGCGAGCAGGAGGAAGUGGUGGAGCUUCAGCUCUAUUUGAGUACAGACGAGAACCCACCAAACACUAGAGCACCUUAUCCUGUAAUUAGAGCCGAACUCAAUGCUACCAUGAGAAUCCAUGUGCACUAGAGGACCAGAGACUACAGUGGGAGUUCCAUCAGAUUCCAUUAAAUUCAAAUAGCCUCCUGCAAUUCCAUCUAGCUCUCCAGCACGGGAAGCUUUGAACACAGUCUUGCAGGAGAUGGCCACUAAAAAACAUGUAUAUCCAUGGAUUGCAGCAACUAUUCAAGGAAGCCAGCAACGCAGUGAUGGUGACGGUUCCUCACUCUACUCAUGGGAAAGAGGCAAACACCUGUUCAAUGGAAUCAAGUCUCAGCUGCAACCCAUCUCUCACAAAGCUGGAGCAAAAGGAUGAGCGUCCCGGUCCCAACUUGCUCAACCCACUCAAUGGAGGUGCGGCUAAACUGCUUCAAGCUCCAAUGAAGUAAAGCAUUCUAGAAAUAUUCUUACCUAUCACUGAUACCAACAGAGGAAAUCUGACUCAUCCAGAUUCAAAGGGAGGAAACAAAGCUCCCACCUCUGAAUGGAAGGAGUGUCAAAAGCAAGCACAGGAGUUGGAAGAUGGUAGCAUUAACCAGGAACCAGAUUCGCAGCCAAACAGAAAUGAAGACAACAGAAUUGGUUAUCUUCAUGUCAAUGCGGAAGCUACAGUUUCUCUCAGAUCUUUUAUAAAAUCUUCAUUGUCAUAUGUUUACUCAAGCUAACGGGGAUUCUAGAGUCCUGUGCUUCUGAACUUUCGACACAUCCUAUCCAUUGUUUUGAUUGAUGUUCUGAUUGCUCUUGUGGAAGAGAACAGGAUCUUCCGCCAAGUUAAGCAAUACCCUUUUUUCCUCUGUGAUUACCGCUCAGACACUUGGAAUGAACCUCAUGGUAAUUCCCUGAAUCUUUUUAAUUAAAAACAUUUUGAUGGAAAAAAUGUAGAUUUCUACUUUAUUAUCCUUUUACUCACUUUCCCAA